UACGAAGGGGGCUAGCGUUGCUCGGAAUUACUGGGCGUAAAGCGCACGUAGGCGGUCUUUUAAGUCGGGGUGAAAUCCUGGAGCUCAACUCCAGAACUGCCUUUGAUACUGAGAGGCUCGAGUCCGGGAGAGGUGAGUGGAACUGCGAGUGUAGAGGUGAAAUUCGUAGAUAUUCGCAAGAACACCAGUGGCGAAGGCGACUCACUGGCCCGAUACUGACGCUGAGGCACGAAAGCGUGGGGAGCA
rnacentral:rRNA from 1 species